rnacentral:rRNA from 1 species
CGGCAGCACAGGAGAGCUUGCUCUCUGGGUGGCGAGUGGCGGACGGGUGAGGAAUACAUCGGAAUCUACUUUUUCGUGGGGGAUAACGUAGGGAAACUUACGCUAAUACCGCAUACGACCUACGGGUGAAAGCAGGGGACCUUCGGGCCUUGCGCGAUUGAAUGAGCCGAUGUCGGAUUAGCUAGUUGGCGGGGUAAAGGCCCACCAAGGCGACGAUCCGUAGCUGGUCUGAGAGGAUGAUCAGCCACACUGGAACUGAGACACGGUCCAGACUCCUACGGGAGGCAGCAGUGGGGAAUAUUGGACAAUGGGCGCAAGCCUGAUCCAGCCAUACCGCGUGGGUGAAGAAGGCCUUCGGGUUGUAAAGCCCUUUUGUUGGGAAAGAAAUCCAGCUGGCUAAUACCCGGUUGGGAUGACGGUACCCAAAGAAUAAGCACCGGCUAACUUCGUGCCAGCAGCCGCGGUAAUACGAAGGGUGCAAGCGUUACUCGGAAUUACUGGGCGUAAAGCGUGCGUAGGUGGUUGUUUAAGUCUGUUGUGAAAGCCCUGGGCUCAACCUGGGAACUGCAGUGGAAACUGGACGACUAGAAUGUGGUAGAGGGUAGCGGAAUUCCUGGUGUAGCAGUGAAAUGCGUAGAGAUCAGGAGGAACAUCCAUGGCGAAGGCAGCUACCUGGACCAACAUUGACACUGAGGCACGAAAGCGUGGUGGGAGCCAAAACAGGAUUUAGAUACCCUUGGGUAGUCCACCGCCCUUAAACCGAUGCGAACUGGAUGUUGGGGUGCCAUUUUGGCACCG